UCCUUGGUGGCUCAGAUGUAAAGAAUCUGCCUGCAGUGCAGGAGACUUGGGUUUGAUCCCUGACUUGGGAA
rnacentral:tRNA from 1 species